UGAGGGAAUAUUGGGUCAAUGGACGGGAGUCUGAACCAGCCAAGUAGCGUGCAGGAUGACGGCCCUAUGGGUUGUAAACUGCUUUUGUGCGGGGAUAAAGUGUGCCACGUGUGGCAUAUUGCAGGUACCGCAUGAAUAAGGACCGGCUAAUUCCGUGCCAGCAGCCGCGGUAAUACGGAAGGUCCGGGCGUUAUCCGGAUUUAUUGGGUUUAAAGGGAGCGUAGGCCGGAGAUUAAGCGUGUUGUGAAAUGUAGUGGCUCAACCUCUGCACUGCAGCGCGAACUGGCCUUCUUGAGUACGCACAACGUGGGCGGAAUUCGUGGUGUAGCGGUGAAAUGCUUAGAUAUCACGAAGAACUCCGAUUGCGAAGGCAGCUCACGGGAGCGCAACUGACGCUGAAGCUCGAAAGUGCGGGUAUCGAACAGGAUUAGAUACCCUGGUAG
rnacentral:rRNA from 1 species